CAAUAGCGUAUAUUAAAGUUGUUGCAGUUAAAACGCUCGUAGUCGGAUUUCGGGGCGGGCCGACCGGUCUGCCGAUGGGUAUGCACUGGCCGGCGCGUCCUUCCUUCCGGAGACCGUGCCUACUCUUAACUGAGCGGGUUCGGGAGACGGAUCGUUUACUUUGAAAAAUCAGAGUGUUUCAAGCAGGCAGCUCGCUCUUGCAUGGAUUAGCAUGGGAUAAUGAAAUAGGACUUUGGUGCUAUUUUGUUGGUUUCGAACACCGAAGUAAUGAUUAACAGGGACAGUCAGGGGCACUCGUAUUCCGUCGAGAGAGGAUAGUAAUUCUCACGAACCGAAACGGAAGAACCGAACCACUGACGAAAGCUAUUCGCCGAGGAUUGUUUCACUGAUCAAGAACGAAAGUUAGGGGAUCGAAGACGAUCAGAUACCAU
rnacentral:rRNA from 1 species